rnacentral:tRNA from 2 species
GCGGGUGUAGCUCAAUGGCCAGAGCACCGGCCUUCCAAGCCGGGUAUGGGGGUUCGAUUCCCCUCACCCGCU